rnacentral:rRNA from 1 species
UACGUAGGGUGCAAGCGUUGUCCGGAAUUAUUGGGCGUAAAGAGCUCGUAGGCGGUUUGUCGCGUCUGCUGUGAAAACUCGGGGCUUAACUCCGGGCCUGCAGUGGGUACGGGCAGACUAGAGUGCGGUAGGGGAGACUGGAAUUCCUGGUGUAGCGGUGAAAUGCGCAGAUAUCAGGAGGAACACCGGUGGCGAAGGCGGGUCUCUGGGGCCGAAUGACGCUGAGGAGCGAAAGCUGGGGAGCGAACAGGAUUAGAACCGUACGUC